CGUGGCUGCGCGGGGCCGCGGGGGUCACCGCCCCUCGGGCGGGCCAGCCGGAGGCGGCUGGGUCACGAUGCCAGUCCACAGCCCGGGCGGAUAUCCAGCCUGCUAGGCCCUGCCUCGGAGGAACCUGCCUGCUUCAGGAAAGGAGUGCGAGGUGGUGUCCGUCUCUCUGUCAAGCUUUUCCUGCCUUCAGGCCUCUGCCCGCUCCCUCUGCUGUCCUCUCAGGAAAUGAGCUGCUGACGUCAUCACCCGUGCAUUCAUUUAUUCAGUUCACCCGUGAAUUCAGAUUUAUCCAUAGAACUCCAGUUCUUUGCCCAAUACUUACAGUUCAAGCAUCUGGAAAGGAAACAGUGAAAAAUAAUGUUCAAUAAGUUUCCCAGUUCCAUGGAGCACACAGUUUUGUGAGGUCAGAAUUACAUAUGCAAGCACCACCUAAGGGUUUUAGCUGGCAGACAGGCUGUCAUGAUCUGAAAGAUCACUUGUCCGCGUGCCGAGUGAAGGAUGGAUCGGGACAGGAAGAGUGGAACCAGAGCAGUCGGUAAAUUAAGGGAAGCUAGCCUGAGAUGAAACCACAUCUACAGAUCGUCUAUGAAUAAUCUACAGAUAAUCUACAAAGUAGAAUCCAGAAACGUUCAUGGUUUUGGGGCUGUGGUGUUGGGGCCUGGAAGCAAUGAGCUCCUCAGUGUCUUUGCCUCGGGGCUGGAAUCUCAGUGAUGACUGAGGUCUUUGUCUAUUCUGUUAGUGUAUCCCAAACCCCUAGAAGUGUGUCUGCCAUGAAGUAAGUGCUCACUAAAUAGCUGGUGCAUGUGUGU